AACGGAGCAAAAGAAAGCCGAAGGAAGACGACGUGAUGGUUUUAAACUGAUACUGGCCCAGGGAAAGGCGGUUUGCCCCCAGGCAGAAUGUAGUCGAAAACAGAUGAACUGGUCUGCAGGAAAGUGCUCACACCCAGGAUGAUGGAACGCACACAAAGAGUCUACCCAGACAGAGAUGAAGUGACCUGCCCUAAACGAGACCUUCGGAUGGUUUCCUGGGUUCGCUAUCAUAAAUCCAGAACACCAGAACUGCUCUUCGGGAAUUUCACAGCCUCUGUCCUGGGUACACGCAGAUGCUUUCCUUCUUCUGGAUGAUCGUCUUUGUCCUGUUUAAGGCUCGAUAAAAUGGUUUCUGUACAAUAA